rnacentral:rRNA from 1 species
AGAGUUUGAUCCUGGCUCAGGAUGAACGCUAGCGGCAGGCUUAAUACAUGCAAGUCGAACGGGAUUCGGGGUAGCAAUACUUUGAUGAGAGUGGCGCACGGGUGCGUAACGCGUAUGCAACCUACCUUUAACAGGGGAAUAGCCCCGAGAAAUCGGGAUUAAUACUCCGUAACAUUGCGGUGUGGCAUCACACUGCAAUUAAAGAUUUAUCGGUUAAAGAUGGGCAUGCGUGACAUUAGCUAGUUGGUGAGGUAACGGCUCACCAAGGCAACGAUGUCUAGGGGUCCUGAGAGGGUUAUCCCCCACACUGGUACUGAGACACGGACCAGACUCCUACGGGAGGCAGCAGUAAGGAAUAUUGGUCAAUGGGCGCAAGCCUGAACCAGCCAUGCCGCGUGCAGGAAGACGGCCCUAUGGGUUGUAAACUGCUUUUAUCAGGGAAUAAACCCCCGCUCGUGAGCGGGGCUGAAGGUACCUGAAGAAUAAGCAUCGGCUAACUCCGUGCCAGCAGCCGCGGUAAUACGGAGGAUGCAAGCGUUAUCCGGAUUCAUUGGGUUUAAAGGGUGCGCAGGCGGAUUGGUAAGUCAGGGGUGAAAUCCCACAGCUCAACUGUGGAACUGCCUUUGAUACUGUCAGUCUAGAGUAUAGUUGAAGUUGGCGGAAUG